ACAAAUCAAACCAGUAAAAAAUAAAUUAAGAUAGGGAACCUUACGUGCAGCCAAUUCCAUACGUGGACACAAUGUAUACGGAUACACGCAUGCAAAUAAGACAUGUAUAUGGACUACAUAGAGGACUCCACAAGGACUUUCCAAGGCAUGAUGGAAAAAAGGACUUGCCAAGGCAACCACGACAGAUAAAAAGGCAUACAUCCGACCGCACCCAACACAUGCCCAAAAAAUUAGGUCAGCCAAAUAUGCUACCAGGCUAGCAUACUACCAAUAAAUUCAAAGUCUUCUGAUUCAACUAGGCAACGUCACAACGCCGGACGUAGUCGUGCCCAAGCAACCUUCUGAGUGGCCUCUCACCUGAAUCAUCAAGGUCCGUAAUUGCUAUUCUGGAUCCAAUCCUUUUGAGUGGCCUCUCACCUGAAUCAUAAAGGUUUGUAAUUGUUAUUCUUGACCCGAUCUACGGGCUGCCAGAUGUAGUCGUGCCCAAGCAACCUUUUGAGUGGCCUCUCAACAGAAUCAUCAAGGUUUGUAUUCUGGACACAAUCUUCAUACGUGCAUUAUUAAUUCACUAGAGAUUGUAUGAUCCUUUUACAGCAAUGUCAUACAACAAGCUUGGAGAGUUCACAACAAGAAGACAAGACUGUGUAUUGAAGCGCAAGUAAUGAGAAUAUGAGAUUAAUCAAUUCUACAACCAAAUGGCUUUGGAUCCCCAAUAUGAUAUUCAUGCAUGAAAAGGUUUAGUCAUUACAUAUAUAUUUGAAGAUUGUUCUAUUGUUCUAUACAAUUAAGUAUAUUUUGCCGAUAUGAAAUUCAUGGAUGAAAAGGUUUAGUCAUUAUAUAUUUACUUGCAUAUUGUUCUAUUGUUUUAUAGAACUACUAAGUACAUUUCGAUUGUUUUCACAUGGCCAAACAAUUCAUGCCACUAUCAGGAAGAAGUUUAUAGACACAUAUAGAUCAAAGAUAAAUGAGAAUCUAUUUAAACAUUUAGAAAUUUUAAGGUUCUGGAAUCCACAAAGUAUAACCGAGUAAGCAGUGAAAUAUAAUUAUGUCUGCGUACAUUACAAAAGUAGAGGCGAAAGGAUCAUCUGAAGGUUACCCAGCUUACUACUUCGAGUUUGCUACAAAAGAAACAUUAGAAGAACAUGCAGAGAAAUAUAAAAGAAUGCUCACAUAUCUCUAUAGUCUAUAGUUGUAAAUAAGACUUUCAAGAUAUUAAUAUUUUUAACUUCAAAAUAAUUAACUCCGCUUUUAAAGACAUCAUUGGAUUACUCACCCAAACGAAGCAUGUGGAAUCAUUAAUAAAAAAGAAAGAACUCUGAAAAUUCAUACUUCAGCCAAAUUGCAAUUGUAAUAUCAGACUAAGUUCAUAAUAUGUAACCAUUCCUCAAAUUUUAAUUGGACCAACUUCAUUGACAUGGCAUCAAUUUUUCUAGAUUAUACUCUUUAGGGGUGAUAAAAUUAUUGUUAGUUUAUGAGAAAAACUUAUAGCUUCAAUGAGGAUCUAAAUGGCAACCGAACUGUCCUUACUGUGACCUCAGCAAUGAUGCAGAAGUUCAAUGAUAAGUUCAUUAAUGUUACAAGCUCUUCUAUUAUUUACCAAAAUAUGUGCAACAGAUUUUUCUUUGAUUAAACAUAGUUGUGCUUAAUGUCAAGUGCCACAAGAAUAUAUAUAGAUUUAGAUAUACCAAAAACUUCGGUAUAUCUUGGUUAAAGUUUGGGGUAUCAUUAUACAGAUCUAGAUAUACUCAUAUGUGAGAUUCAUAACAUAUAUUUCUUUGACUAAGCAUGGUUGAGGAGGUUAAUUUGCAUUUAAUUCAUUACAAAAUGCCUACUGUGUUCUUUUUUUUGACUGAGAAAUAGUAGGAGAGGCACCUAAUAUGCUAUAAUAAUAUAUAAUAAGUAUUUACAUGGCUAGGAGGAAAGUCCCACCAAAGGAAAACAAACAAGCAGAGUCUAAAGUGAAUUUACAAAAGAAGUGAUAUAAUCACUGAGAUCAGGGGACACUCUGUAUCUAAGCCAGGUAAGAUCAGCCUUAGUUCUCUCAAGCCAAGCUCUAUAUGAAGGACUGAUCUGAUUGAAGAUGAAGUUAUUUCUCUCCUUCCAAAUAUUCCAAGCAGUAAUGGUGAAGAUUUCAAAGAAAAUUCUACCGGAAUAAAUUUCACGUACUGUGUUUGUAGUUUCCUAACUAAUAAGUAUAUCUCACAUAUGAUGCAUAGAAUUUUGGAUGAUGUGUUACAAAAAGCAACGAAGAACCAUAACAUGGAUGCGAAAAAGGUGGUUGAUUUUCUCAGAGUACAUACUUAUCAAUUUUUAGAGACAUGUAUAAUCUUUGAAAUGUAUUUUUAUUUUGUAGAAAAAUAACAAUUGAGAUUCACCUCAGAAAAGGAUAUGUCAAUUGGUUGCCCAUGGGAGAAGAACCACAUGAUACUAUGGGACUAUAGUAAAUGAGUUGAUGGGUGUGAAGAAAAAAUGUCAGCAUCACAUGGACUCUACAAUGGCAAAAGAAACUGAUGGAGAUCUAUUGUAUUAUCGGAUGGCUCAAAUGAUGAAUGCACCGACAUAAGUGUGCAAGAAUGAAAGGAGAAAUAUGUACGUUGGGAACAAGAAACAUGUUGAAGCAAAAGCAAAAAAACCUACAAUGCUUGAAGAUAAAGACUCAGUUGCCCGUUGUGGCAAAAUAAGAUGUAGUGUUACUGCAGCCGUUAGGAGAGCACAAAAAAUAACCAAAGAGCUAGAUGGCCACAAGACCGGAAUUGUUGAUGUAAAAUGCUAUUCCCUUUGUAAAGAAAUAUAAGAGCGUUUAGAUCACUAGUCUUAUAUUUCUUUAUGGAGGGAGUACAAGACAAGUGGGCAGUUAGAAGAUACAGUAGACAGAAAAAACACAAAAUUAGUUGAUUAGUAGCUUAUAGUGAAACUAAGGCAGACUACUACUGAGAUGGAGAAGAACACUUGACAUCUACCGAUAUAAUGAUGUGAGUUAUUAGAUAACAAAAGUAUUGAAUUUAGCACUACAAGAAUCAUGACAUGUUGUAUUUAUUUGAUUGAAAUAUGAGUUUUCUGCUCUUCAUGACAACUCUUCAAUCCAACAGACUUUUCAGAUCAAGAGAAAUAUUAGAAAGGCUUCAAUAUUAUCCUAUGUCAAUUAACACAUGGAUCUUGCUUUGUAUUAGAUACACGUAUAUGUAAUAUAUUUUUUUGGUGAAUACGCUUAGCAGCGUAUCAUUUCAUUGAUAGGUAGAAGGGUGUUCACAAGUUACAGGGAUGCUCCCUCGCAGACGUACACAAGCCAGCGUCUAGGAGGUUGCAAGGUGGAGCAGAGGGAGGAGGAUGCUCAGCCUCGGGACACAAGGUUUAAUUUACAGGUAUAAAUCGCGGCUAGCCCUCUACGCUCAGCACAGGUGGAGCAGACGUAUAUGUAAUAUAACUUGCAAAUAUAUGCUAAAAAAAUCAUUAUAUAUUUUUAGCUCAGUUAGAGGCUGAAAACAUACAUGUGAAGAAUCACCCGCUAUGGAGGAAGUAGGAAUGAUAUGAAGCUGUAGCACAUACAUGUGAAAACCCGGCAUGACGAACAAUGAGGGCCACAACUCACCUCAGCCAGCCGACACAUCUCUGUCUUAUUAUUUCUUCAACAUCUGCUUCACAUCUGAUUUGGCACUUCACGACCACAAAUUUCAACAAAUAAAACACAAUGUAUAAAUAGUCUAAUUUGACAGGGAAUAGUGACAAAAAUAAAACAAAAUGUACUAUAUAAUGAUAUGGUCGGAGUACAAGAGACAACCAUGUAAAACUUACACUGGCAGAGGUCCGAAAGCACCAACCAUGAGGAAGGCGAGAACUCGCCACCAACGGGCUAAGACCUACCCAAAUGAGUUCAUCGCUGCUGCAUGCCCAAUCUAAGAUCACCAGAGCUAGGGUUUGGGGACAGUACCAAAACAGAAGGAAACUGGAAGAUAAGAGACAAGAAGUAGCGCCGGGAUAGAUCAGGAAUUAGUUUCACAUAAGCUAGCGGCGGCAUCUUCCUUCGCCGGCUGCCAAUCGAAGGCGGCAGUGUAUGUGGAUAAGGUCAUGAGGAGUGUGGAGUGGAUUGACGGAGAUGGGAGAGACGAAUUCUAAAGAGUCACCAGUCCUUUCCUUCGAGAAAAUUGUUA
rnacentral:lncRNA from 1 species